rnacentral:lncRNA from 1 species
CUCCAGGAAAGGAGAAGGUGCUGCACACGGUGGGAAGUCUGAGUUACAACAGCUUGCAGAACUGCUCUUCUGGGACAAUGCCUCAGGGGUAGUGCUGCAGAAAGAAGAUUGCCCACUACAGUAUGAAUAAGAAGACAAGCUGCUCCACAGAAUGGAACAGAUGUCUGUGAUUAUCCAACAGCAAGGUAAACACAGCCCCAGGGAGAUGGCACCCACAUGCAACCAGCUGCUGCCGCUUUGGAUUUUGGGAGAGAAGGUAAGCAUGUUCAAUAAAACCUAUUUUUCUGGAGGCUUCACUCUGUACCUAUCAAAUUCCAC